CUUUCAGUAUCAGAUGCAGCUCUACUCCACUACUGAUAAAUAAUAAGUCAGUCCUUCUUUAAUAUAUUUUUCAGUAUCAGAUGUCAAUAAUUUCUUCUUCUAAAAUCCCAGUCCCCCAAUUUUCUAGCUAGCAAGUAUCAAAGAACUAGGGGAUUUCACCCAUGAUGUUCUAGGGAAAUAAUUCGUGGAGAAGGCAAUCCCUGAUCGAAACUUUUGCUGUUAUUUUCUUGGGAACCAAACAGCAACUUUAAGUAUUUGGGUGUGUUUUUGUUGCAGAAGGUCAGUCAUGUUGUCUGGGUGUCUUGAAUUCUUAAAGUGUGUGCUUUGUUGUGUAGAAGAACAUGAAGAAGAUCUCCUUGAAGUGCUAGGUUCAAGGUCAACAAGUAAUUCAUUAGAUGUUGGAUCAAGAUUCACUAGGUCUGUGGGAAGAGUCUCUGAUAGACUUCUGGGUUCCAAUAAUUACACAUAUGCACCUAUAUAUUCCUGUGAUCCACCUACAUCGUCCCCUGCAGUACCUCAAUCUUCAUCAAGAUUUCUCUCACCUUCUUCAAUUCCAACACCUUCAUGGCCUAAUCCUCCAACAUCAUCUUCUAACCAACCUCGAUCCUUACAUAUACCGGCAACAUUUUCUUCUAGACCCUCUCCACCUGCACCUGCACCUUCAACAACUUCGUCGAAUGCAUCCCCUCAAGCUACAACGUUGUCAUUCACAUCAUCUCCAUUUCCACCUCCACUUUCAGCUUCUUCAUCAAAAUCAUCCCAUAAAACUCAUCCUACUGCUUUCCAUCCAUCUCCGUCUCCCAAACCACUCCCACCAUUCCUUAAACCAGGAUCUUCAUCUUCUAAACCUUCUCCAUCUUCGCCUAAAGCAUCCACAUCUUCCCCAGGACCAUCUUCAUCAUCCUCUAAACAGCCCCCAUCCUUCAAACCAACUCUGUCUCAGGUUUCCCCAGAUUCAAUUAAGGAGCAGACAAAGGUCAGCUACAUGUGGGUUCAAAAGGGUAUGUCACCUAUAUAUGCGAUUCCUAAGGAUAUUGAGGACUUGAUCAAGAGAGACAAGGUGCCUGGAGUUCUUAAUAAACCGCUGUCUCUUUCGACAUACAAGGAUUAUUUUGCAGCACUUCUGUAUGCCGAAGACUUCUACAUUGAGAAAUGGAGUGAAUUUAAAUUGGAGAAUAUUACUCUCAAGUUGCAACGUGCAGAAAUCAUUAAGAAGUCACGCAGGAAUGAAUACCGCAAUGAAACUUAUGAGAAGGAUGAUAAGAUCUUUGUAGAAUUUGAGAUUGACUCUUGUUGUGAGAGGCGGCCGUUUCUUUUGUCCAGAGACUUUGCCUUUGCACGACCUUCAGGUCAAAUGACCGAGCCAUGUCAGGGUAUUAUAUAUCGUGUGGAGAGGAGCACUCGUGUAGUGGUUGAAUUUGGUAAAGAUUUUCUUUUGCAGCAUCAUUCAACCCGUAAAUAUGAUGUUAGCUUCUCAUUUAACAGAGUUUGUUUGAAAAGGGCUCACCACGCAAUUGAAGCGGCUUCAGAUCCUUUAUUUAAAAGUUUUCUUUUCCCUGAUGGUGUCUCCAAAAAGAUAUUCCCAAUCUCUACACCUCUCCACUUUUGCAAUCAUAAACUUGAUGUGUAUCAAAGCUCUGCAGUUCGUGAGAUUUUGAGCUUCCAAGGACCACCGCCUUAUAUUGUUGAAGGUCCACUCUGUUUAAACAAGUUUUCAGAACUAUCAAGGACUGGAUUGGUAAUCCAGGAAGCAGUGCUCCAAAUUUAUCAAAGCUCGUCAAAGCUUCGGAUUCUUAUAUGUGCACCCAUUAACAGAACAUGUGAUUUGCUGAUGCAAAGCUUAAACAAUGACAUUCCAAAGUCAGAUAUGUUUCGAGCAAAUGCUACUUUUCGAGAGAUAGAUGGGGUACCUAUUGACAUCCUACCAUCGUGUGCUUACAAAGGGGAGUGUUUUACGUGUCCAUCUCUUCAGGAGCUCCGGAAAUUUAGAGUAAUCUUGUCUACUUUUGUUAGUAGCUUUCGGCUGCGUAAUGAAGGGAUAGCUGCUGGUCAUUUUAGUCAUAUUUUUUUGGUUGAUGCUUCAUCAGCUACUGAGCCAGAAGCAAUGGUGCCUCUGGCUAAUUUGGCUAGUGAGGAGACAGCAGUGAUAGUUACUGGUGCACCAGGAAACCAUUCAGGCUGGGUUCGCUCCAACAUUGCAAGGAAGAAUGGACUAAUGACAUCCUACUUUGAAAGACUUCGCCAUAGCAAGCCAUACCGGAGUUUACUUCCAAAGUUUAUCACACAGCUGGCUGAUCCCCAGAAAGAAUCAGUUGGUGAUUAUAGCUAUGCAUCUGUAUCUUAUGACUAAGGUGUUCUUCCAUAUCUGCAACGCCAUGAUACUCUUAACUCAUUGGAUUUCCUGUAAGCUUUCUCAUUGCCUGGUCUUGUGCAUAUAUGAGUGAAAUACGAAGAGAGUUCUUCUUGGUUUCUGCUUUGUGGUAGAAGAAGAAGAAGAAGACAUAGCAGCAGCAACACAAGAAGAGGUCUAAGAGAAGAAGAAGGUAAUGUGGAUACAAAAACCAUGUUUGUGUUUUGAGGACGAACAAGUUGUGACAACAAAAGUACAAGAGAAGCCACAAAAGGAGGUUUUUUCUGUUGAAUGUUUUUUUAGAUAAGGAAAUGAAUUUGGACACAAAGGGUGUGUGGGUUGUCACUUAUGUAUAUAGUGAUCGCUAGUUUACAAGAAAGAUGCAUGUCGGAUCAAAUAGUAAAUACCUAUUUCACAUUUGUUAUUAAAAUUUAA